UAGGGAAUCUUCGGCAAUGGGGGGAACCCUGACCGAGCAACGCCGCGUGAGUGAAGAAGGUUUUCGGAUCGUAAAGCUCUGUUGUUAAGGAAGAACGAGUGUGAGAAUGGAAAGUUCAUACUGUGACGGUACUUAACCAGAAAGGGACGGCUAACUACGUGCCAGCAGCCGCGGUAAUACGUAGGUCCCGAGCGUUGUCCGGAUUUAUUGGGCGUAAAGCGAGCGCAGGCGGUCAAUUAAGUCUGAUGUGAAAGCCCCCGGCUCAACCGGGGAGGGUCAUUGGAAACUGGUUGACUUGAGUGCAGAAGAGGAGAGUGGAAUUCCAUGUGUAGCGGUGAAAUGCGUAGAUAUAUGGGGGAACACCAGUGGCGAAGGCGACUCUCUGGUCUGUAACUGACGCUGAGGCUCGAAAGCGUGGGUAGCAAACAGG
rnacentral:rRNA from 1 species